GUGUGAUAUCCUGCAAACAAAGUCAGCUGCCUUGGGGAUAAUGCACCCAGGGUCCAAGGUGGGAGUGAGAAGAAACCAUGGGUGGAUGAUGGGCUUCAGCUCCCAAAUAAAAAACCUCACUGCUUUCUCUAUCAAACACACACACACUCACACACACACGCACAUAAUUGCACACAAUUCAGUACAGAAGAACCUUCUUCCUCUUAUUAGUCCACGCCCACGGCUCCUUGGAGCCAGACAAAAUAAAUAAAUUACAGAUUCA